AAGUGUAUAUGUUAAUUAAAACAAAUGUCUUCAAAGACAAAAAUAGACUUUGAGGCUUACACUUG
rnacentral:tRNA from 1 species